AAUGAAGACAGAAUAGCAGCAACGGGAGACGAUUUAAGUACAAUAAAAUCAUAUGGCACCUGGAUGAAAGGUGCUUUGCUUAAAUUUCUAAGCCCUCUUCCUCGGGAUGCCUCCACUGAUGAAGCUGCACCAUCAACUUCAUCUCCCAUUCAUGAGGAAGAAGAAGACAUGGAAGAGACUACAUCCAGUGGUACCAUGGCCUCAACAUCAACAUUAAGUGACUCUGC